rnacentral:rRNA from 1 species
UACGGGGGGGGCAAGCGUUGUUCGGAAUUACUGGGCGUAAAGGGCUCGUAGGUGGCCAACUAAGUCAGACGUGAAAUCCCUCGGCUUAACCGGGGAACUGCGUCUGAUACUGGAUGGCUUGAGUUUGGGAGAGGGACGCGGAAUUCCAGGUGUAGCGGUGAAAUGCGUAGAUAUCUGGAGGAACACCGGUGGCGAAGGCGGCAUCCUGGACCGAGAUUGACGCUGAGGCGCGAAAGCCAGGGGAGCAAACGGG